GAUUGAAAAGCCCCUCAUCUAUAAGAUAAGUUUAGCUAAAAAUCUAGACCAUUCGAAAAGUAAGGAGUAACCCCAUAAGAGGAUCCUAGGAUUCAUCAAGCCUCAUCGAUCUAGCCCGACGACCUCAAGCGAUCAAGAUUGGAAAGCCCCUCAUCCAUAAGACAAGUUGAGCUGAAAAUCUUAGCCAUUCGAAAAAGGAGUAACCCCAUAAGAGGACCUUAGGAUUCGUCAAGUCUCAUCGAUCUGGGCCAAGGACAUCGGACAACCAAGAAGCAAGGGGUAACCCCAUAAGAUGACUCUCGAAAAGCCCCUCGUCCCAAGACAAGCUAAGCUGAAAAUUUUGACCAUUCAAGAAGUGAUGGAUAACCCCAUAAGAGGACCUUCAGAGCCUUAAAGCCUCAUCGAUCUAAACCAAAGAC
rnacentral:lncRNA from 1 species